rnacentral:rRNA from 1 species
AUGUGAUCUGAGUUCAGACCGGAGCAAUCCAGGUCAGUUUCUAUCUAUAACGGAGCUUUUCCUAGUACGAAAGGACCGAAAAAGCACAGCCAAUACUUAUGCAAGCCGUAAUUAAUAAAACAUGAUUUAAUCUUAAUAAACACACAAUCCAUUUAUAGCCUCAAGAUAAGAGC